UACGUAGGGUGCGAGCGUUACUCGGAAUUACUGGGCGUAAAGCGUGCGCAGGCGGUUUUGUAAGCCAGAUGUGAAAGCCCCGGGCUCAACCUGGGAAUGGCAUUUGGGACUGCAAGGCUUGAGUGCGGCAGAGGAGACUGGAAUUCCUGGUGUAGCAGUGAAAUGCGUAGAUAUCAGGAGGAAUACCGAUGGCGAAGGCAGGUCUCUGGGCUGACACUGACGCUCAUGCACGAAAGCGUGGGGAGCAAACAGG
rnacentral:rRNA from 1 species